AUGAGUGAGGGCGGCUCACACAUGCAGCCUCAGCUGGGGAACUCUCACACGGCGAACAGCGAGCAGCCUGAGCCGGCCACCAUGCCGAUGAACGGCAUGGCUGCUUCGAGGCCAGGCAAUGGCCAGACGGCAGAUGAAGCAGCCGCCAGCGGAGUGACGGAGGAUAUCGAGGCGGCCGGCAACAACAAUGGGCAAGGUCCGCCCAACAGGCCAGCAAGCCAUGAAUCCAGCAUCAAGGUUGAUUUCGAGUUCUUGUGGAGGUUGCGGAAGUAUCUGCUACUUCUGGCGGUGUUGGCCGUUGGUGUCACUUACAAUGCUGGGUUGAGCCCGCCGGGGGGAUUUCAGAUGGACAGACUUGACCGCCAUGCCGGUGAUCCUCUCCUCCCGCUUAGAUUCUUCCAGCGAUACCAAGCCUUCUUUUACUGCAACGCCACAGCCUUUGCUGCUUCUCUGGUCUUGAUCAUCUUGCUCCUGAGUAGGGGAGUGGCGAGCAAGCAUGUCUGGCUUCGCUCGAUGCAGUUUACCAUGAUACUGGAUCUUUUCAGUCUCAUGGGGGCAUAUGCCGCGGGGAGUUGCAGAGCACUAAGGUCUUCCGUUUACAUAUUGGUGCUGGUCUGUUCUGUUUUCGUCUAUGUUGUGGUUCAUAUCCUGUUGCUUAUGAGGGCAGUUCCACAGCCGUUAAAAGAUCAGGUGCAGAAAACCCAGGAUCUCAUUCUGAAGAAGCUGAAACGCAUGCUAAAAAAGGUGCCAUCUAUUUGCCCUGUCUCUGAUCCUGACAGGCAAAGGAGCAACCGAGAUUACGCAAGGGAGAUCGAGGAGGCUCGCAAGUUCAUAUUGAUGCUUGCAACUUUUGCUGCUACUAUCACAUACCAAGCUGGGAUAAGUCCACCUGGUGGCUUUUGGGGUGCAAAUAAUCCUGAACACCGUGCAGCCACUUUUGUUCUCCGCAAGCACAACCUCCUCCGCUUCAAUAUCUUCACGUGUUGCAAUGCGACCUCUUUUGUGGCGUCUUUGGUCACAGUCAUACUGCUUCUGAGCACGGAACUGAGCACGCAUGGGAUAAGGACUCAAGCGCUGUCUGUGUGCGUCGUGGCUGUUCUGCUGGGGCUCAUUGGUGCUUAUGCUUCAGGGAGCUGCAGGGAUGUUGCAACAUCGUUGUCAGUGAUACUCAUAAUUGCUGUGGUUCUAAUCUGUGUUCUGAUUCUUGUUAUUUGCCUUCAUUGCAAAGCUGUAACGGUGUGGGUGGAUGAGGAGCUGAAGCCAGCACUUGGCAAAAUGCUGAGGAUGCUGUCAUUGGGGCAAGAUGAUUCUCCAAGAGCUCACCAGCAAUGUACAGAUUGUCAGAGAAGGCACCAUCAAGAUACAGAGCUUGUUUCUCAGAGAAAUCACCAGCAAGAUACAGAUCUUGAUUCUCAGAGGAUUCACCAUCAAGAUACAGAGCUUGUUUCUCAGAGAAAUCACCAGCAAGAUACAGAUCUUGAUUCUCGGAGGAUUCACCAACAAGAUACAGAGCUUGACUCUCAGAGAAGUCAGCAGCAAGAUACAGCACUUGACUCUCAGAGGGUUCGCCAGCAAGAUACAGAGCUUGAUUCUCCGACAACUCACCAGCAAGCUACAGAGCAUGUAGUUCGAGAUACAGAAGUAGAAGGUGUCAUGUCGAAUUUGCAGUGCUACUCUGCUGACAGCGAUCUUGUAUCAACUGGAGAUAUGAGAUCUGUAUCAGCCAGUGAUUUGGAUAGCAUGGAGGACAUCAUGCCAACAACACUACAUCAAUCUCAUGAUCAGAGUGAACAUGCUGCAAUUAGAGUUGUAUGCUCAUCAUCAACAGAUGCCCUAACUACCGAGGAAGUUCCAUCGGACAACUUGGAAAUACAACCUGCUGGCAGUCAGCAGGUUGCAAUCCCCAUGGCACUAUCAUCAAGUGACGGUGGAAAUUCUAUCCAAGGUAUUUUACCGUUGCAGGGCUCGGUGGACGAAAAUGCAACAUCUGGUAACCUGAGGAUGGAUGCUGAUGAUCCGGCAAUGGGAUGUGAAUUACCCGACAGCCAUGGGGACAGCACAGAACAGCAUGGUCAGCAAAUGUCCAAUAACCCUACUAGUGCAGAUGAUCGUGAUGUUAGAUUAGAGAUCGACAACACUGCCAAUGAUCAAGCCCCACAGCAUCAGAGAUGUAUUAAAUGCAGCUGUAGAAAUCCAGAUGAUGCUUUUCUGAAGAAGUCACGCACUUACCUAUUGCUUCUUGCAAUUCUUGCCGUGUCUUUGACAUAUCAAGCUGGUUUAAAUCCACCAGGUGGCUUCUGGACAUCAAAUGCCACAAAGCACUCUGCUGGCGAUCCCAUUCUUGGGGACAGUGGUCGUGUCUGGACAUCAGGUGGCACUAAGCACUCUGCUGGUGAUCCCAUUCUUGAGGACAGUUAUCAUAAGAGAUACCUUGCCUUCUUUUAUUUCAAUGCCACUGCAUUUGCAGCCUCCCUUGUCAUGAUCCUUAUGCUCCUGAGCAGGAAGAUGAGCAACAAGGUUAUAAAACGCCGGGCACUGCAGACAGCAAUGAUAACCGAUUUGCUUGCUCUAAUGGGGGCCUUUGUUGUUGGGAGUUGCAGGGAGAAGACAAAAUCUAUUUACAUAUCAGUGUCGAUAUUUAUCGUGGUUGCAUAUGUCCUUCUCCAUGUUUUAGUGUUUAGGCAUAAUGGAUGGUUGAAAGUGUGUGUUACCCAGAGGAUGAAGUUUGCACCACCUCAGACAGAUAAUGAGUCAAGAGAUGCUAAGGAGAAGGACUUGGCGCGGAGGCGGAAUUUGCUCUUUAUUCUUGCAAUUCUGGCGGCAACUGUCACGUACCAAGCUGGCCUGAACCCGCCAGGAGGCAUUUGGCCUGAUGAGAACAGUAAGGGUGGCAAACCAGGCAAUCCAGUUCUUCAAGACAGCCACCCAGAGCGCUAUGAUGUUUUCUACUACUCCAAUGCUGUCUCAUUUGCGUCAUCUGUGGCUGUCAUCAUUCUUCUUGUUAAUAGGGAAUCAUGUGAGGAUGGAAUCAAGUCGUACGCAAUCCGUGCGUGCUUGGUAGCGGGUUUGCUGGGCCUCCUGAUUGCCUAUUCUGCAGGAACCUGCAGCAAAGCGAGACCGGUAAUAUAUCUUAUUGUCAUAGCCUCUGCAGCUCUAACAUGCCUUGUGAUUCAAGUACUUGUACUACAAGAUGCAUUAGAUGGGCCACUGACCAGGUUAAGGGGUCGGUUGCGGAAGAUUCUUCAUCUAGAGCCUGACUCUGAGACACCGCUGGAAAGUUCAGAUGAAGAAAACACGGAAAGAAAUGCUCAGGGGUCAGGCACCCUUAUUAGUGAGAAGAGGGAAAAGAAGAGACAGAAGUACUUGAUGCUUCUUUCGGUUCUUGCUGCAUCCAUUGCGUACCAAGCUGGUCUAAACCCGCCUGGUGGCUUCUGGCCUGAUGACACUCCCAAAAAUGGUUACAAGGCUGGCAACCCGGUACUUAAGGACAUAAACUCCUGGCGCUACAUGGUAUUCUAUGUCUUCAAUUCCAUCUCUUUCAUGUCAUCUAUUUCUGUAGUCAUGCUUCUGCUGAGUAAAUCUGUGAGACAGAAGAAGGUUCCGCUCCAAGCAUUGCACUUCAUCAUGAUACUGGACCUGUCGGCUCUGAUGACAGCUUAUGCAGCUGGAAGUUGCAGAAAGUUCAGGACUUCAAUAUUCAUCCUCGUGGUAGUAUGUUGUGUGCUGGUGUACCUUCUGUUUAUUAUUAUCUUGUCAAGUCGCAUAGCAAGAUGGCUGAAAAAACAGAAAAACAAGGUGGCUUCCUUGCUGCUGGAGCCUAGCCAUGCCGCUGCAACUUCAGCAUGA
rnacentral:rRNA from 1 species